rnacentral:rRNA from 2 species
ACGGGUGAGUAAUGUAUCGGAACGUGCCUAGUAGCGGGGGAUAACUACGCGAAAGCGUAGCUAAUACCGCAUACGCCCUACGGGGGAAAGCAGGGGAUCGCAAGACCUUGCACUAUUAGAGCGGCCGAUAUCGGAUUAGCUAGUUGGUGGGGUAACGGCUCACCAAGGCGACGAUCCGUAGCUGGUUUGAGAGGACGACCAGCCACACUGGGACUGAGACACGGCCCAGACUCCUACGGGAGGCAGCAGUGGGGAAUUUUGGACAAUGGGGGAAACCCUGAUCCAGCCAUCCCGCGUGUGCGAUGAAGGCCUUCGGGUUGUAAAGCACUUUUGGCAGGAAAGAAACGUCAUGGGUUAAUACCCCGUGAAACUGACGGUACCUGCAGAAUAAGCACCGGCUAACUACGUGCCAGCAGCCGCGGUAAUACGUAGGGUGCAAGCGUUAAUCGGAAUUACUGGGCGUAAAGCGUGCGCAGGCGGUUCGGAAAGAAAGAUGUGAAAUCCCAGAGCUUAACUUUGGAACUGCAUUUUUAACUACCGAGCUAGAGUGUGUCAGAGGGAGGUGGAAUUCCGCGUGUAGCAGUG